rnacentral:rRNA from 1 species
UACGUAGGGUGCGAGCGUUGUCCGGAAUUAUUGGGCGUAAAGAGCUCGUAGGCGGUGUGUCACGUCGGCCGUGAAAACCUGCAGCUUAACUGUGGGCGUGCGGUCGAUACGGGCAUCACUGGAGUUCGGCAGGGGAGACUGGAAUUCCUGGUGUAGCGGUGAAAUGCGCAGAUAUCAGGAGGAACACCGGUGGCGAAGGCGGGUCUCUGGGCCGAUACUGACGCUGGAGGAGCGAAGGCGUGGGGAGCAAACAGG